rnacentral:rRNA from 1 species
GCGAGUCAUUGUAGCAAUACAAGGCAGACGGCUCAGUAACGCGUAGUCAAUCUACCCUAUGGACGGGAAUAACCUCGGGAAACUGAGAAUAAUGCCCGACAGAACAUUAUACCUGGAACGGUUUAUGUUUCAAAUGAUUUAUCGCCGUAGGAUGGGACUGCGGCCUAUCAGUUUGUUGGUGAAGUAAUGGCCCACCAAGACUAUUACAGGUACGGGCUCUGAGAGGAGUAGCCCGGAGAUGGGUACUGAGACACGGACCCAGGCCCUAUGGGGCGCAGCAGGCGAGAAAACUUUGCAAUGUGCGAAAGCACGACAAGGUUAAUCCGAGUGGUUUCUGCUAAAGAAACCUUUUGCUAGUCCUAGAAACACUAGUGAAUAAGGGGUGGGCAAGUUCUGGUGUCAGCCGCCGCGGUAAAACCAGCACCUCAAGUGGUCAGGAUGAUUAUUGGGCCUAAAGCAUCCGUAGCUCGUUUUGUAAGUUUUCGGUUAAAUCCAUACGCUUAACGUAUGGGCUGCCGGGAAUACUGCAUAACUAGGAAGUGGGAGAGGUAGACGGUACUCGGUAGGAAGGGGUAAAAUCCUUUGAUCUAUUGAUGACCACCUGUGGCGAAGGCGGUCUACCAGAACACGUUCGACGGUGAGGGAUGAAAGCUGGGGGAGCAAACCGGAUUAGAUACCCGGGUAGUCCCAGCUGUAAACUAUGCAAACUCAGUGAUGCAUUGGCUUGUGGCCAAUGCAGUGCUGCAGGGAAGCCGUUAAGUUUGCCGCCUGGGAAGUACGUACGCAAGUAUGAAACUUAAAGGAAUUGGCGGGGGAGCACCACAAGGGGUGAAGCCUGCGGU